AAAAGGAGAAGCUCUUGGAGUCAUUUUCCCCUUUGCCUCCCUGUAGCAGAUAUGCAGAAGGGAGGGUGUUGCACGUCUACUACCAGCCAGUUCGUGGUUUGCUUCCUCGCCCCUCAGCGGGGGUUCCUAAAGCCCCUUGCAGCUUCGGCUUCGUUCAGCACCCCCAGCUAGGCGACAGCAGGCGUUAUUAACCCUGCCGUGCAAAGAGGGGCAGCGAGGCACCAGGGGGACUCGUGCCAAGCCACCUUACAGGUAAUACCUGGAACAGAAAUUAGGAGGUGGCAGUCUCAGUUUUGACUUUAACCUUCACGUCAGGUUUCCUCCUUUUCCUUAGGCUGCAGUGCCAGACCACUGCAGUACCAAGUACACAACAGCAUCCUCCAUCUUCUAACCAUCUUUGGUACCAUGACAGGGUGGAGGGACGUGUAGCCUGCAAGCCUCCAGACCCUCGCACGCCUUUCUAGGAGCCUGCAGCUUAGAAAGCUGGACUGGGAGGUUCGCACUUCUGGCUAUCUGCAUUGUCCUUAAUUUCUGUAGAAGUGGAGCAUCAUUGCUGAGGAGGGAGUUAGUCAGAAAUGGCUUGCUUCACGUACUGUGUCACUGCAUCUGUCCCAUGUUUAAGCUCAGUGAGAAGGUCUGAUGCCUUUCCUGACGUACUGUGUGCUCCUAUUCCCUUUCUUUCCCCGCAUCUGUUGACAGUUCAAAGUCUCUCCAUGGGACCACCUGCUCAGGGAUACACCCUUUAAUAGGUCUCAGCUGCAGCUACAGCAAGAAAAAUUAGGAACAGUGUAGAAGUAUUUUUCCAUUGCUGUGACAAUUAAGGCAUAACACUGCAUAAAUGAGCUUAUCCUUUUCAUUGUAUCAGCAAAUUUUGAGUUCUCUUUUUUUAAUUUCAGGUCUGCUGGACACAACUAGCAUCUUGGGGUGCCUGAAGGCUGUCUGUAUGGGAGAUGUGUAGACACCACCCUUCUCUUUCCCUGAUAACCAAUUACCAUGGUACAACACAGGACCUGAGCAAGCAUCCAUAGCAUCUGAGAUGGAAGUAAUACUCCUGUGAUGGAGGGUAGAUCAUCAGACACAGAGUCCUAUCUUCUCGAUCCAAAAUGGAGCCAGAUGUGCUGGGAGUCAGUUUCUAACUUCACAGGAUAUGAGUCAAAAUGUGCAACUCGCCGCCUGGAACUCCGGUGACUGCAGUGGAGUUCAGCCAAGGACAAUUUUGGCAAAGAGGAGUGGUCAGGACGGCCCUAAGCGAUACCAGGUACCAGCGUGUGGCCCUGGGGAGGAGCCGGGGAGCAGCCUGGAGCCCCUGAGCACACCACUUCGAACAGCAGAGCAGACACGAAGGCAACUUGAAGGAUGUGUAGGAGACCUGAGACAGCGCACUCCAGAGCCCUGUGAGGUGCGGCCGGGCCGUCGAGGCCGAGGAAUCCCCGGGAGCCGCGGGAGCAGCGGGGCCGUGGCCAGGGCAUGUGGCACAGCCCCUGCUUCGGACAGAAAGACAGCCGUCCAAAGGAAAUGAGCAUCAGUUCUCAGCGGCAGGAAAAGUGACACAUCCCGGAUAACCGGCGGUCCCCGCUCCUUUCUCAGUGUCCCUGCGGGGUGGAUGGCGCCAGAGCCGGAGUUUUGCCACCGUCCGUGUGAUGGAGCAAUGGGAGCAGUGUAGCUGGGUUGUGGGUUGACUUGCGCUUGCAUCACUGCAACCCUGAACAAGAUUGCAUCUGCAGUCAUCUGACUUCAUGCCUGGACUGAUAAAUGGUGCUGUGGAAGCAUGGAUCUCAGGGGCCUUGGCAAGAUGCUUUUGCAGUAUCCUGUCCCCUCGUUGCGUUGUCCUCUGGAAGACAGAAGAAUGAGAACCGGCGGUGUGCCAGUAUCCUGCAAGCAGUUUGAGAACUCCUGUGUGAAGAAAAGCAACUAUGCAGUGUGAGCGCAGCAAACUCGUGCUUCCCAACAACCUGCAGUUGCACUGUGUUCCCCAUGGGAACUGAAGCUAGGUUCUCGCUCUGGUUUUCUGUGUUCUUCUCUGUUACCGUACCAAAGUUGUUGCUCUCCAGCUCCCACACGUCCAUGCAAAAAUGCAGAUAUUCUCCAUGCAGAUUAAACAAGGUCUACAAAUUCAGGAAGGGCUUGUAUGGAAUGGAAGGAAAACGAAAAAUUUCCAGCAGUUCUGCACCCGUAAUCGAGUCCUGCCUGUGGCCGUUGUCACAUAGGGCGAACACUUGGUGAGGCCUCUGGGAAUUUUCCGUGUGUAGAGUGCAGGAUUUAGGCCUAGCAAGGGCACUGGUCUAAAAGGGGUAGCAAGAGGUGAGCUUUCUGGGGAAAAAUAGUGUAUUUUUUGUAUAUGUAUUUUUGAGUGAAAAACCGCCGUGUACGCAUGUUUAUGUAACAGAAGUAAAAAGCAUUUAUUUUCAUUAAACUAACAAAACGGGUAAAGCUCCCAAA